rnacentral:lncRNA from 1 species
ACAUUCUUAUUUAGAGCAUAAUGAGAAGACCACUGGGUACAUGAUGGUUAACAUUUGAGACAGAGGCUGCAUGCCUACCAUGAGAGUGCUCCAUCUUGCAAAUGGACCUUGAAUGCUUCCCAGUGGAGCUGACUGAACUCAUUCCUAUAGAGCAGAUAUGUACUAUUACUGACGAUUCCAACCCAAACUGCAUUGUUAUAAGCAAAGCCGUUAGCUAUAUGUACAACCUUGGGAAAAUUACUGAAUCCCUCAAGGUCUCAGCACGGACUUCUACUGAAGUAGCUGGCUAGAAUCCCACCGUCUUUAACCCAAAUGACUAAAAUUGAGGCACAGUUGAUAGAUGCUGAAUAAAAUGUACUCAACCUGCUGGCAUGCCUUGCAGAGGAUGGGGAAGACCCAGAACAGGAAGAAAUGCUGUUUCAGGGUGCCCCAAAUAGUUUACUCACCUGUAACAUGGGACCUCAUAGGGGAUAUGCAAGCAUUCAAGACUCUGUCAGCUCAGCAUUUCUGGAAACUAUCAUCCAUAAAGGUAAAUUAUAAAGUGUCUUUAGCUUCAUAAAGGGUUCUGUGGGAUAAUCCAUGCAUAGCACUCCACUGAAUACAGAGUGCAUACGUACUGUUCAAUAGCUAUGUAAAUUAUAAGAAUUUUGCAUGCUCAACAA